rnacentral:rRNA from 1 species
AGUCAAUAGAUACCCGGGUAGUCCAUGCCGUAAACGAUGAUUGCUAGGUGUGGGGGUCUGACCCCUUCCGUGCCGGAGUUAAACACAAAUAAGCAAUCCACCUGGGGAGUACGGCCGCAAGGUUGAAACUCAAAGGAAUUGACGGGGGCCCGCACAAGCAGUGGAGUAUGUGGUUUAAUUCGAAGCAACGCGAAGAACCUUACCAGGUCUUGACAUCCACCGAAUCCUGUAGAGAUACGGGAGUGCCCUUCGGGGAACGGUGAGACAGGUGGUGCAUGGUUGUCGUCAGCUCGUGUCGUGAGAUGUUGGGUUAAGUCCCGCAACGAGCGCAACCCUUGUGAAUAGUUGCUACGAAAGAGCACUCUAUUCAGACCGCCGUUGACAAAACGGAGGAAGGUGGGGAUGACGUCAAAUCAUCAUGCCCCUUAUGACCUGGGCUACACACGUACUACAAUGGCCGUUAACAGAGGGAUGCAAUACCGCGAGGUGGAGCGAACCCCUAAAAACGGUCUCAGUUCAGAUUGCAGGCUGAAACUCGCCUGCAU